AGAACGAACGCUGGCGGCAUGCCUAACACAUGCAAGUCGAACGCUCUUGGGGCUUCGGUCUCAGGGGAGUGGCGCACGGGUGAGUAGCGCGUGGGAACCUGCCCUGUUGUGGGGGAUAACCGAGGGAAACUUCGGCUAAUACCGCAUAAGCCGGUUGUCUUGAAGGAGAUGGCCGGGAAAGAUUUAUCGCGACAGGAGGGGCCCGCGUCGGAUUAGCUAGUUGGUGGGGUAACGGCCCACCAAGGCGGUGAUCCGUAGCCGGUCUGAGAGGAUGAUCAGCCACACUGGGACUGAGACACGGCCCAGACUCCUACGGGAGGCAGCAGUGGGGAAUAUUGGACAAUGGGCGCAAGCCUGAUCCAGCAAUGCCGCGUGAGUGAUGAAGGCCUUAGGGUUGUAAAGCUCCUUCGCUCGGGACGAUAAUGACGGUACCGAGAUAAGAGCCCGGCUAACUUCGCGCCAGCAGCCGCGGUAA
rnacentral:rRNA from 1 species